rnacentral:rRNA from 1 species
UACGAAGGGGGCUAGCGUUGUUCGGAAUUACUGGGCGUAAAGGGCGCGUAGGCGGUGUGUCAAGUCAGGCGUGAAAGCCCCGGGCUCAACCUGGGAACCGCGCUUGAGACUGGCACGCUAGAGUUCGGGAGAGGAUGGUGGAAUUCCCAGUGUAGAGGUGAAAUUCGUAGAUAUUGGGAAGAACACCGAUGGCGAAGGCAGCCAUCUGGACCGACACUGACGCUGAGGCGGCGAAAAGCGUG